UGUAGUCUUUUAAAGGUUUAAUGUGGGAACAUGAAGAUAUAAUUUUUUUUUCAAAAACUCUGUUUAAAACAACAACUUUUAUUCUUAUGAUACUGUUGCCCUGAAGUCAAUUGACAUGUUAGCUAACACAAUAUGAUUUGAGCAGAUACUGUAGGCAUAAUACAAAGUUUGUAGUAUAAUACAUAGGAAUCUGUAAGCAACUAAGCAUGGCCAUGUCCCAUUAAGACUUUAUUUUUAUAAAUAGAGGAGGGGCUGAUUUUGUAGAUAGGCUGUAAUUUGUUGACAUUUGCUUUAUAUUUUUAAAAGAAGAAAAUAAGUAUUGUUUCUGAAAUGUUACACGAUUCUUCUUUUUAAAAAAAAAGGCAUAAAAUUUCUAGUGAUUCUGAUGAAUAAUUCUUAUAUACUUCUACUGAGUGUCAUAUAUCACCGGCUACAAUUUGGUUUCUGUGUCUAUCUAGGUUUUCUUUCUAUUCUCAGAAUGCACACUCUAUAACUAAACUUUAACAACAAAAAAAAAACCAACCUUCGUAGAGCUGACCACUCUGUAAUCGGUCAGCAUGUGGAGGGUGGGGAUACAAAUGCUCAUUCCUGGGAGAAGCUAAUUCUCCCAUUCUCUGCAGUCAUGUAUGUAACAAGACUAAUUAAAGGAAAGGAAACUAUUAAUUUGAGAAUGAGGAACCAUAUAGGAGGGGGGCUAGAGAAAAAAAAAGUGAAUUGAGAAGGUAAUGUAAAUAUAUUUUAUUUACAAAUGUAAAAAAAUAAUUUUAAAAUAAAACCUUAUUCUACAAAAAAAAUAAUAAUUGGUAGAUGCAGGUUGUUAUUCCAUAUCUGUGUCCAGUUAAGAAGUCAUUUGUGUGCCAUAAAGGAUGAGUAUGAAGAGGAACACUUCAUAAUGACAUGAAAAUACCCUCAUACUGAUGUGUUGAAACUUCAUGGAAGAAAAUGUCAACAUUUUCCUUCUCUGUAUAUAAAAAAGUUCUUUUCUUUCAACUCCCUAGGGAUACAAGCAUAGAAAUUAAAACAUAAAAUUACAUAAAAUACCAGAAUUCAGCUACUAUUGGGAAAAUAAUGGACAAGAAUUUUACUGGUGUCUGUAAGAAGACACAGUGAGGAAAGACAGAGACUCUAAUCUAUUCCUUCACAAACCCCUUCAGUUUUACACCACACAUCUUGUCUAUUAAAGGCAAUUUUACUGUGGAUUUUUGGAUCUAGGGUGUAAGCCUAAGAAAUUUGUUUCUGCCUCUAGGUCAAGUGGCAUAUCUUACUUAAAUCUUAUGGAGUCCUAUAUAACUAUUACUGUCCCCAUAAGCUUCAUUCGAACCUACCCCUUACCUGAAGGCAGACAGCCUCAACUUUACAAAUAGUCAACAUCUGGAAGCACGUUUUCACUUAUGAAUAUUGUUAUGAGCUAGGUACCUGUUUUGGGUGACAUUUCUUAGAGUCGCAGUACAUGGACCAGCAAUCACAAGCAUUUGAACUAAGAGUGAUUAUAUUCUUAGAUUUGAGAUCUUAUUCCCAUCUUGCUGUUCAGAUGAACACCUUGUGGCAAGCCAGUAAUGUAAGAUGUUAUUAACGACAUAGCCUAUGACUGAGGAAAUACACAUACAGAGAAGGUGUGCGUGAGGGGUCACUUGGGGAUCAGAUGAGUAAGUAAGUAGACUAUUAAUGUUCCAAGUCCUCAACUUCUGAGUAUGGAAGUUAAAGGGAGCCAUCUAUCAUAGUAAAAUGAAUAAUUUAAUACUUGUAUUAGCAAGAGUGAUGUUUAUCAUAUGGGUUUUCCUCUCAGGUUAGCAUUAAGACACUGCUAAUAUUGUGACUUAAAAAAAAAGAACAAUUCACUUCAAAAAAAUUAAAUUUUAACAUAAAUAUUAUGGGAAAAUGUAAGAUGAACAGAGAAGUUAAAGAAGUUUGUAAGGGCCUCUGUGUGUCCAUCUGUGUUAAAGCUCCAUUCAUAUCUUCCUAGAAAUGGAUGUCUUCAAUAUGUUUAUCUCUCUGGAUGCUUUCUUGUAAGACUGUGUUUCUCUCACCCUACUCUAGUAUUUGUUUCCCUGUAGAAUCUGCCUUAGAGUUUAUAUAACUGUGAUAAAACAUAUAACUUGUGGCAGGAAGAAUUUAUUUUGUCUUACCACUUAUAAUACAUCAUCCAUGAUGAUGGGCAGGAACCCAAGAAAGAAACAUGGAAGCAAGAGCUAAAGAAGCCAUGGAGGGAUGAUGCCUACUGGCUUGCUCUUUCAUGGUGUGCUCAACAUACAUUCAUAUAGCACCCAGAACCACCAGCCCAGGGAUAGCACUACACACACACACACACACACACACACACACACACACACACACAGACACACAGAGUGAUCUGAGCUCUCCCAUAUCAAUCAAUCAAUCAUCAAUUAAGAAAAUCUACUAUAGGCUUGACUACAGCUUUCCCAAAAUAUGGUGGAGACAUUUUCUUAGGAGAGCCUCAGCCUCCAUCUUCUUAAAUGACUCGAAUUUGCAUCAAGUUGAUCUAAAACUAGCCAGUACACUUUCUGUCCUGUAUAUUUGCUGUAGAAAAUCAGCAAAUAUGUUUGGCAUGUCUGCUGAGGAGCUAGAUCCACAACCACUGACAGGCAUUAUUAUCUGUGGAUCGACUUCUUUCUGUCUACUGAUUU
rnacentral:lncRNA from 1 species